rfam:Sus scrofa isolate TJ Tabasco breed Duroc chromosome 1, whole genome shotgun sequence.
UCCUUGGUGGUCUAGUGGUUAGGACUCAGCGCUUUCAUCGCUGCAGCCCGGGUUCAAUCCCAGGUCUGGGAA